rnacentral:tRNA from 1 species
GGACUCGUAGCUCAACGGUAGAGCGCUUCGUUUACAUCGAAGAUGUUAGAGGUUCAAAUCCUCUCGAGUCCACCA